UAGGGAAUCUUCCGCAAUGGGCGAAAGCCUGAUGGAGCAACGCCGCGUGUGUGAUGAAGGGUUUCGGCUCGUAAAACACUGUUGUAAGAGAAGAAUGACAUUGAGAGUAACUGUUCAAUGUGUGACGGUAUCUUACCAGAAAGGAACGGCUAAAUACGUGUCAG
rnacentral:rRNA from 1 species